rnacentral:misc_RNA from 1 species
GAUGAAGAACGUAGCGAAAUGCGAUAAGUAAUGUGAAUUGCAGAAUUCAGUGAAUCAUCGAAUCUUUGAACGCACAUUGCGCCCGCCAGUAUUCUGGCGGGCAUGCCUGUUCGAGCGUCAUUUCAACCAUCAAGCCCCAGGCUUGUGUUGGGGACCUGCGGCUGCCGCAGGCCCUGAAAACCAGUGGCGGGCUCGCUGUCACACCGGGCGUAGUAGAUUUUAUCUCGCUCAGGGCGUGCUGCGGGUUCCGGCCGUUAAAAAGCCUUUUUUACCCAAGGUUGACCUCCGAUCAGGUAGGAAGACCCGCUGAACUUAAGCAUAUCAAUAAGCGGAGGA